rnacentral:rRNA from 1 species
UACGGGAGGCAGCAGUGGGGAAUAUUGCACAAUGGGCGCAAGCCUGAUGCAGCCAUGCCGCGUGUAUGAAGAAGGCCUUCGGGUUGUAAAGUACUUUCAGUCGUGAGGAAGGUGUUAAGGUUAAUAACCUUAGCAAUUGACGUUAGCGACAGAAGAAGCACCGGCUAACUCCGUGCCAGCAGCCGCGGUAAUACGGAGGGUGCGAGCGUUAAUCGGAAUUACUGGGCGUAAAGGGCACGCAGGCGGUUAAUUAAGUUGGAUGUGAAAUCCCCGGGCUUAACCUGGGAAUGGCAUUCAAGACUGGUUAGCUAGAGUCUUGUAGAGGGGGUAGAAUUCCAUGUGUAGCGGUGAAAUGCGUAGAGAUGUGGAGGAUACCGGUGGCGAAGGCGGCCCCUGGACAAAGGACUGACGCUCAUGUGCGAAAGCGUGGGGAGCAAACGAGGGAUUUAGAU